GCACUGUUGGUUCAAUGGUAAAGUUCUCGCCUGCCACGCGGGAGGCCCGGGUUCGAUUCCCGGCCAGUGCA
rnacentral:tRNA from 1 species